CACUUCAAGAAGUGUUACAGCGGCUUACAAAUGCAGGUCUGCAUCUCAAUGAUAAAAAGUGCCAGUUCAGACAGUCCAGUCUGCGCUUUCUCGGUCACUUAUGCCGCUUUUCCACCGCACAUGUAGCUCGACACGACUCGACACGGUAGCAGCACGGGUCGUUUUCCACCGCAAAUAGUACCUCCUGGACGUGGGCGGGGUCGGCUGCGCGAAAGGGCCGUGACGUAUUUUUGUACGCGACGCAAACAACACCUACGCAACCCACACAUGGACAGAACCCACAUAACAACAAUGGAGGACAUCGAUGCGAUGGUAUUCGUGCUGCUCGGUCUGGUGCUUUUUGUCGGACACAAAAGAGAAGAGCGUCAGAGAAGGCUGCACGCGGCGAGACAAAAUACACUGGAAAAGUCCCGGAGAGUGUUGGAAUAUAUACAACAGUGUGAAGCCGAAGAUGAGAGGAAUCAAGCCUCCAAGAAAAGACGCAUCUAGAUGCUACUCUCGUCACAACAUUUCCGCCGCAAACCGUCGGUCUGGGCGCACAACCGAUCCUCGGAAUGGUGGGAUGUGAUUGUUCCCCGGCUUCACAAACGAGCAGUGGGUGGAGAACUUCAGGAUGUCUGAAGAAACGUUUGGCUUCUUGUCCAACAAACUGCGUCCAGUUUUGGAGCGGCAAGACACCAAUUUCCGCGGAUGUGUGCCCCUGAAGAAGAGGGUGGCCAUUGCACUGUGGAAGCUCGCUACUGGCUCUGAGUAUGGGAGUAUUGGACAUCUUUUUGGAGUCGGCAUCACAACUGUGUGCAGGAUUUUUGUGCUGCAGCAGAGACAUUGUUGGUGCCAGAACAAAUCCGUUUUCCAGACGAGGUGAAGUUCCGCGAAAUGGCUACCUACAUUGAGAACAGGUGGGGGCUCCCACACUGUGUUGGUGCUAUCGAUGGAUCCCACAUACCAAUCCUUGCACCACAGGACUAUCACUGUGACUUCUUCAACCGUAAAGGCUGGCACUCCAUCCUCCUUCAAGGUGUUGUCGAUGGAAAGGGGCUGUUUUGGAACGUGUUUGCUGGACUGGCAGGGAGCAUGCAUGAUGCCAGGGUUCUGUGAGUGUCCAAACUGUGGGAGUUAGCCAGCCGAGGGAACCACUUCCCAGCUCGCACCAGGAACAUUGGAGGGGUGACUGCUGGCUAUUACAUCCUAGGAGACUCAGCACAUCCUUUGCAGAACUGGCUCUUGAAACCCUUCCAAGACACAGGACGACUUACAGCAGAACAGCAGAUGUUCAACAGAAAAUUCAGUAGAGUAAGGGUGGUUGUUGAAAACGCUUUUGGCCGGCUUAAAGGAAGGUGGCGGUGCCUCCUGAAAAGGAACGACUCUGAUCUCCAACUGGUGAAGUCUAUGGUUAUGACUUGCUGUGCUCUGCACAACCUUUGUGAAAAUCAUGGAGAGACUUAUGAGACCGAGUUGGAUGUACAACCAGCAGAGCCUGGGGUGGCAGUGGCACAGGAUGUAGAGGGCAUCAAUGUACGGGAGGGUCUAAUGCAGUUCUUGUUGGCGAAUAAUUAACAUGUUAGAAUAAAUUUUGAAUUUGCCAUGUAGGUAUACACUUCACAUUUUGUAUGUUAUUGUGAGAACAUUAAACUUUUGUACUUUU